UCCUCCCCCUGUCAUAGUCAGGUUUCUGCAACACAAGAAGUAUUAAGUAACUCACAAGUACACUCAGAAAUCAAUAACCCAUCGAGCCAAUCAAGCUUUUCAAUGUCAACAGGAGACCAAUCAGGUCCUGCUAAGUGAUUCAAAUUCAGCACAUACAUCUUAGCUAUUCACUGUGUUAGAGGAGAAGGAAGCUCAGGCUGGAAUGCCAUUGAAGCUUAUCAUAUAUAUAUUUAUCCCCACAGAUUGAUUAGGAUGU